AUAAAUAAUCAAGUAUGCACUUAAAAAGCCGGAGCAUCCUCGAGGAGCCGCAGACUCCGCAGGCUCCCGCCAAGAGAAAGGAGCCACCGAGGUGUCCUCUGGGUGCUGGCAGGGCAGGCUCUCCUGACCCCAGCCCCAGAAGCCCUGGCCCAGCGGAGGUGGUCACGCGCUGGAAGGCUCAAGAGCCUGCUUGCUACCCGGGCCCCUGACAGCCCUCAGCCUUUGUCUGCACCUAAAACUUUUUUGCUGUUUGUUUCAAAAUAGGGGAAUCUGCACAUCGAGGAAUUCAAGAUGGUCCUGAGCGGGGCGCUGUGCUUCCGCCUUUCAGACUGGGACAGGCCCCGGCAGCCCGCCUGAGGGGGACAAGUAACCACGGGGAAGAUGGAGACAGGAGCCCCCUCCGAGCUCCGCUCUGCUCCCCACACCAUGAGUUCAUGUCACUCCAGCCACUGUGCCACCUCCUCCCUGCAGCCCUGGGGGUGGGGGGAAUAGAACAAAAACAAUCUCCAGAGGUCUGCCACCCACAAGUGUGUAGCGACCCAGAAACUCAGCUGUGUGCGGACUUCACAGUGAAGGGGGAGAGCAGCCCUCUCUGACCUGAGUCUCGUCUGACUGGUCCUCCAUAUCCUUGGUUUCCACAUCCACAGAUUGAAAAUAUAUAUAUAUCUCGCAUCUGCGGUGAA